AAAGUGUUAGUAUAAAAAAUACAUCUCACUGUCAGUGAGAAACUGCCAAAGCACACUUUU
rnacentral:tRNA from 1 species